GCUGGUGUAGCUCAGUGGUAGAGCAGUAGGCUGUUAACCUAUUGGUCGUAAGUUCGAUCCUUACCUCCAGCG
rnacentral:tRNA from 1 species